AUGAGAAUACAGUUUCCUCCGAAAAAAUCUUAGGCUGAUCUUGGAAGAAAGACCCCCUGGAUCAUCUAAAAAUAAAGUUUUCUAUUUAAAGAUGAAAAAACGGAAGCAAAACCAUUAAGUGCCUUCCCCAAGGUCUUAAAAGAAGUCACCAAGAAGGUGGUGUGGCUCAAGUCUCCUGACUCCAGUUUACUAUUUCCCACAAUAAUGUUGGAAAACCACAUUGGAACGGGAAGACUCAUUCCAAGUACUGCUGUCACACCAGCAAGCUUCAAAGAACAUCCCUGUAGCUAAAUGGUGUUCAAAGUAAACAUGGAGAACAGAAAGCAUCCAUCUCUACCUAGUGGGGCAAAAAAUGACUGAAUUCCCAUACCAUAUAAAUACCCCAUGAAAAGACAGAGGAAUCCUUGAUCCACCCAACAUUCACUGAGUAUCUGCCUUGUGGCAAGCACUGCGGAUGUGCUUGGAUACAAAGAUAAAUAAAACGUGGGCUCCACUCCCAGCAGUUCAACAUCUAGCCGUCUUUGUCCCAUGCUCUUAAAUCUUGCUAAGGCUUGGGUUUUGUUUGUAAUAGAAAUUCUAAAGCAGGGACAGAAGAAGUUAUCUUUUCUAAAUUGCCCACCUCUGUUGUCUAAUUAUUCCACUGAGGAAAACACUUGGUCCUGGAUUACUUCGCUGAGCUCAGAUAUGUUUUGCUGACACACAGAGUCUGGGCAGCAUCCAGCCCCCCGUUUACUCCCUGGUCUUUAAGUCUAGGUCAUUUCAGGACCAGGACAGUUUGGCACUGGGACGUGUUUCCCAGAAGUACUAAUAGUUCGAGAGAGGAGCAAGUGUCUUCACAUCUGCAGGUCUGGGUGCCGAACUUUCUACUGUCGAAGCCUGAGGUGAGAUGUCUGGCCGUGUUGCUAGUGCUCGUCGCCCUCAAGAAGCCAAACAGGCUCUCAGAGUCUCUCAGGCCCUGCCCCCGGACGUGGCCCCGCCCCAGAGCAUGCUGGGCAGGACCUCCCCAUAGAUCCCUCCCAUUGCCAAUGUAUUCCUCCAGAGGAUUCUGAGCUCUGCUUGGUGUUUCCAGCUGUGAUGAGGUAAAUGUAGUCUUGGUCCUCUGGAAAAGUAGAUAAUUAAGGCAGAUAGUCCACACAUGUGAAAGUGUUGUGACUUGGAAAGGGUGGGCAGAUCCCAGGUUGGGAGGAUUAAGGAAAGCAUUGAGGGAAACCUUUCAGUAUGGUGGGAAGGAAGGAGGAAAGAAGAGAUGGAGGAUCUCAUUUUGGUUUUGGUUUUGUUUUGUUUUGAAGUUUUUAUGAAGAAAAGUUCCCAUCUGAUGACUUCUCUGUUUCCCUCUGGUGGUCCAGCACAUAUGAUCAAUGAGCGAGGAGUGUGGACAAGGUGUAGGAAAGUGGAAUUGUUUUGAGAACUUAGGCAAGCGAGUUGACUGAGAAAACAAUCACAGAAGCUCCCCGAGACAGGGCCUCUGUUGUGCCUCCACUGGGUGUCCCAAGUGCUUGGAAGAGCGUC
rnacentral:lncRNA from 1 species